rnacentral:rRNA from 1 species
CCUACGGGCGGCAGCAGUGGGGAAUAUUGGACAAUGGGCGAAAGCCUGAUCCAGCCAUGCCGCGUGUGUGAAGAAGGCCUUCGGGUUGUAAAGCACUUUCAGUGGGGAAGAAAGCCUUGGGGCUAAUACCCUCGAGGAAGGACAUCACCCACAGAAGAAGCACCGGCUAACUCCGUGCCAGCAGCCGCGGUAAUACGGAGGGUGCGAGCGUUAAUCGGAAUUACUGGGCGGAAAGCGCGCGUAGGCGGUCUGAUAAGCCGGUUGUGAAAGCCCCGGGCUCAACCUGGGAACGGCAUCCGGAACUGUCAGGCUAGAGUGCAGGAGAGGAAGGUAGAAUUCCCGGUGUAGUGGUGAAAUGCGUAGAGAUCGGGAGGAAUACCAGUGGCGAAGGCGGCCUUCUGGACUGACACUGACGCUGAGGUGCGAAAGCGUGGGUAGCAAACAGGAUUAGAUACCCUAGUAGUC